rnacentral:rRNA from 2 species
CUGCCCAAUGAGGAUUUAAAUGGCCGCGGUACUUUGACCGUGCAAAGGUAGCAUAAUCAAUAGUUUCUUAAUUGGAAGCUGGUAUGAAAGGUUGGAUGAGAAAAUAACUGUCUCUGUUUAAAUUAUUUUAGAAUUUUAUUUUUAAGUAAAAAAGCUUAAAUUUGGAUAGAAGACGAGAAGACCCUAUAGAGUUUUAUAGAUUUUAAUUUGAAAAGUCUUUAGAAUUAAAAAAUUUUUAAAUUAGUGUUUAUUUAGUUGGGGUGAUUGAAAAAUUAAAAAAACUUUUUUUAUUUACUAUAACAUUCAUUUAUGAUUGGGUGAUCCUUGGUUAAAGAUUAAAAGAAAAAAUUACCUUAGGGAUAACAGCGUAAUUUUUUUAAAGAGUUCAAAUCGAAAAAAAAGAUUGCGACCUCGAUGUUGGAUUAAAAUAAAAUUUUGGUGUAGGGGCUAAAGUAUUUGGGUCUGUUCGACCCUUAAAAUUUUACAUGAUCUGAGUUUAAACCGGCGU